CUCCGGGCUGCUGCACGGAAGUCCCAAGGCCUCGGCAGUGGCAGCUUCCGCAGGUGACUGCGGGGGACGGGCCAGCGCUGCCCUGGGGGGAAGGGAGGCCCCACAGGGCACAGGGGGCUCAGCCCAGGAUGGGGGGGGGCUGCGGGCUCACACGGUUUCAGCCUCUGCAGAGACCCCGAGCGUGGCACCGGGACAGGCCGAGGGCGUCUACAGCAGCAUCGUGGUGAAGGAGGCGCCGGGGCCCCCUGCCUACCGGGCGCUCUACGACUAUGCGGCCCAGAAUUCCGACGAGUUGAACAUCUUCGCGGGGGACGUCCUGGAGGUCAUCCUGGAAGGGGAGGACGGCUGGUGGACAGUGGAGCGCCACGGGCAACGCGGCUUCGUCCCUGGCUCCUACCUGGAGAAGCUCUGAGGGGCAGAGCCCCCCGACCGCCCUGCUGUCCCCGCAGCCCCGCUGGGCCGGGAUGGGGUCCGAGGGGGGCCCGCCCCCCCAUGGUGUUGGCCGCUCCCUGCGCGGUGUCUGCACCGGGAAUAAAAGAGUGCGUUGCCCUCUUCCUGGUCUGCAGGGUCCCGUUCACUCUUCGGCUCUCACGUCCAAGUGUCUAGUCCAAGAUGGGGC
ensembl:lncRNA